GUCGAGCGAUGAAACUUUAACAGAACCCUUCGGGGCGAAGAUAAAGUGGAUUAGCGGCGGACGGGUGAGUAACACGUGAGUAACCUGCCUUAGACAUUGGGAUAGCCUCGGGAAACCGGGAUUAAUACCAAAUAAAAUCAUAAUGACACAUGUCAUAACGAUCAAAACUCCGGUGGUCUAAGAUGGACUCGCGUCCCAUUAGCUAGUUGGUAGAGUAAAAGCCUACCAAGGCGACGAUGGGUAGCCGGCCUGAGAGGGUGAACGGCCACAUUGGAACUGAGAAACGGUCCAAACUCCUACGGGAGGCAGCAGUGGGGAAUAUUGCACAAUGGAGGGAACUCUGAUGCAGCGACGCCGCGUGAACGAAGAAGGCUUUCGAGUCGUAAAGUUCUUUUAUAUGGGAAGAUAAUGACGGUACCAUAAGAAAAAGCCCCGGCUAACUACGUGCCAGCAGCCGCGGUAAUACGUAGGGGGCUAGCGUUGUCCGGAAUCACUGGGCGUAAAGGGUUCGCAGGCGGAAAUGCAAGUCAGAUGUAAAAGGCAGUAGCUUAACUACUGUAAGCAUUUGAAACUGCAUAUCUUGAGAAGAGUAGAGGUAAGUGGAAUUUUUAGUGUAGCGGUGAAAUGCGUAGGUAUUAAAAAGAAUACCGGUGGCGAAGGCGACUUACUGG
rnacentral:rRNA from 2 species